UACAGAGGUGGCAAGCGUUGUUCGGAAUUACUGGGCGUAAAGCGCAUGUAGGCGGCCUAGCAGGUCGGAUGUGAAAUCCCUCGGCUCAACCAAGGAAGUGCAUUCGAAACCGCAAGGCUGGAGUCCCGGAGAGGAUGGUGGAAUUCUCGGUGUAGAGGUGAAAUUCGUAGAUAUCGAGAGGAACACCGGCGGCGAAGGCGGCCAUCUGGACGAGGACUGACGCUGAGAUGCGAAAGCUAGGGGAGCAAACAGG
rnacentral:rRNA from 1 species